GGCGGGUGACGCGCCCACCGAGACGGGGCCCGCGGGGAGCGCGCGGGGCGGCGGCUGGGCGGGAGGAAGCCGGGUGAGGACGUUCCUAGGAAUCGCUCGUUAUGCUCGGGGCGCGUCUGGUCGUGGCGGUAGUGCGGCUGACACGUGCCAGUAAGCAGCGUGGGGCGGGAAAUCUCCUGGCUGUCACGGCACGCUGUAAAGGAUGUCGUUGCUAACAAGCCCCUGCAGCAGCAGCGUGCCCGCUGCCAGCUCUGGGGCCCAGUGGGUGAAUUUCUGCGCCGAGCCGUGCCGUAGGGCUGCCCGAGGCCGGGAUCCCUGCGGGCCGGCACGCUGCUGCAGAGCUGCCACUGCGACUGACGGGACGUGUGGUUGACUGCUCCGUCCCUCGAUGGGACAGGGAUGAGAAGGCUUUUGCAGCCUGGCAAGGGUCCAAGCUCCCCUCCUGCACUCGCCCCUUUUCGCCAGCCUCUUGAUCCACCCUAGCCUCGAACUACUGCUCCCACCGUGCCAAAAUCCACGUUAGCUCCAGAUUACAGGGAGAACAGCACCGCUAGGGAUCUCUGCUACACUGGAGAGCAGCAAGCCCCUGGAAGGUGAUGGGGUGGUUCAGCCGCCCCGCGCAGCCCACUCCUGCUUGGAUCACGGCGUCACACCUGGCACCCAUGAGGCCAGCACACCUCUGAAACCAGAGAGAGCAAGGGCUGUCACCAUUUCCACUCCUCCCUGAGGUUGAAUGGCACUCAUUAAUUCAAGCCGUAGUACAGAGCAGUCCCCUGAGUGCUCACCUGUAUCAAUUACCAGUGCAAUUCAAAGAAGGAUGAAGUACUGGUUUUCAAUUAGCUGCAAGAAUCCUACGCUACUGGAGUACUUGAGCGGUGACCAGGGUCUGUCUGGCACAGUGCUGCCCAGAGAGCUCAGGACAUCCUGGAAACACCUCCACUGCCUUCAGCAUCCACAUUCGAGGCCACCAUCAAGCCUGUAAAUCCAAAUUUUCCGAGACUGUUUUUUUCAUGCUGCUUUUCCACCCGGGGCUCCUCUCCUGAGCUGCGUGCUGGCUGGCACCAGACCUGCACCAGAGCCAAUGUAUACAUAGUGGGAAUACAGGAUGCCUGUGAGGUUUGUUCCUGACCUGUCAGACAGAGCAGGGAUUGUCCUGGGGUCUGAGCCACCAGAAGGACACUUUUCCCUCUGUGCGAUGGAAGUAUGUUAUGUUGGGAUGGAUGCGAUGGGGUUUUAGCGCACAUUCAUCCAUCUGUAAGCUGUCUGCAGUGGGAUCGUCUCUUCUUUGCCCUGAGGAGCCCAAGCUUGAAGAUCACUGUUUUCCCUAGGAUUUUCUCAGUCACACAGGCUGAGCGACACACAGUUAGCUCAGCAAUGAGACUGGACUUGAUACUGCCUGAGAGAAAUGCGUGUGCUUUGCCUUACAAAGGCAAGCUCACCUUUGUCGUCUUGAUGAUUGCCCUUUGGCUGUAUCUCCCUGAACAGCCACAGUGUUUCAAAGUGAAAAUAAGGAUGGCUUGAGGAUUUCUGGCCUUAAAUGUAAAACUGUCAAGCCCUCGUGCUCUUGUUCGGGUUGUUUAUCUGCCCUGCAGAGAUGUGCUACAGGCCCACGAUCUUCAUGGUCCAGUGGGUUUCCUAAUGAAUCCCAUAACCUGAUCAGCUGGACAGAACGAUUUUGGAAGGUCACAUUGCUGUUGCACACAGAGUGCUCAGCCAAUAAAGACUCUGCUCAUCAAACUGCCACAGUGUUAAGGUAGUGCUCAGCUUUGGAAAGUAUUUGCCUUUGGUCAGUGUAUCUUUGCUUUUUCACCUUGUGCUGUGUGUACUGCAUUCUGCUUCAUGUCUAGGACACCUGGCAAGCAACAGCAUCAGGGAUAGAAGGAGCAGCUACAGGCAACAGUGCAGAGCAGACGCUGCUGUUCCCCUCCAUCCUUUGUAAUCACUUGCUGAACAAAUGAAAGAAUUAUGAAAAGGCCUCCCAGAAUUAUAUGGAAUUCAGAAAUACCCUACAGCUCUAUGCGGAAGAGUAUAUAUAUAUAUAUCUCCAAACAAAUAUUACUGUUUAGCAGAAAUGAAAUGUAAUAGUUAUUUUUAAAGGUAUUUUAAAGUUAGAAGGUUUAUGUAUUUAAAAAGUUCGAAUUACAGGAAGCUCAUGCAUGGACUCAUUUUCUGACACCAGAGGAGACAUGGUGUGAAAAUUACGAGUAGUACCGACCUGGAACAUGGCAGGCUGCUGUUCUGCCCUGCCGCUGUCCCUCCUUUCCUUCUGGUCCUGUCACUGUCACCAAGGAGAGCCCAGCUUUGCUUGUCCCCCGCCCUUGUCAGCUCCUCUAAGCGCUCCUGCUGAUGUGGCACAGAUAGGUCUGGAAACUCUUUCCUCAUGCAGGCUGGCUGGCCUGGGUGAGUAACUCAAAUUAAAAGCGGAGAAGAUGGGCAAAUUGGAAUUUAAUUCCUCUGAUGUCAAACUCGGGCUCUUCUACAGUAUCUGACUUAAGCUGUUGCCUGAAAUUGAACUCCAAUUACCUUUAAGACAAGUCUUUCUACCCAAGUCACCUUCUGCACGAGCACCCCUCUCAAUAGACAUAAUCAGAGACACUUCCAGCUGCCUGGCAAAGUACAGUUACAGGAAAGAACUAGUCUCUCCUCACUCCUCUCAGAACCCAGACAAGCCCUUUCCUGCUCAUAGGCAAGAAACUUGAAAAGCUUUCUCUUCUGGAGGACAAGGGGCAUGGCUUGGAUUCAGCCGUCAGGCAGCUCAAAGCAACCCCCCGUGUCUCAGCUUCUAGUGACCCCGGCAGUGCUGCCUGGCUGCAGAUCCUCGUGUGGCUCGUGUAGGUACCACUGCCCAGUUCUAGCCCUUACCCUCACCUGGAGAAAGGAGAAAUGCCAGCAUGAGAGAGUUGUACAUCAGUCGCUGUAUAAAAGCAGGCAGAAGACAGGGGCAGAAAUUGGUGUCAUCUGCAGGGUAAGGGUGGAGAGCAUGCGGAAUUUCAAAGGCUCCUAAAAUUAUUUUCAGGAGGUUCUUGUGCCUGUGUCAUGUGGAUUUUGGGACUUGUUUCUAGUAGUGUCUGUUUUUCUAAAUGCAUUUUCUGGAGGAAUAUUAUUUAAACUGUUCUUUAUAAAUCACAAACCACAAUGAGAGUAGGAAGAGACGGCAGAGCAGAGUGAAUGAAUGAGAAAAUUACAGAAGGGUAGGGAUUUGAUUAAAAAAUGGAGUGUGCCAGGAUCCACAUUUCAACAAAAUCAACAGCUGUUUCUCAGGGAUCAAUGCCAGAGUUGCUACCCGAGAUCUGAAAUUCACACUAUUUAUAUCAGUUUAUUGAUUUCAUUCUGCUUGCAGGACAAGUCUUGUUAUCAUCAAUUACAGCAUCAGACUUUUUUUUUUUUACAGAUUUUUUUAAAGUUAAA